rnacentral:rRNA from 1 species
CCUACGGGUGGCUGCAGUGGGGAAUAUUGGACAAUGGGGGGAACCCUGAUCCAGCCAUGCCGCGUGUGUGAAGAAGGCCCUCGGGUUGUAAAGCACUUUCUGUGAGGAAGAACGCCUGGUGGUUAAUACCCAUCAGGAAAGACAUCACUCACAGAAGAAGCACCGGCUAACUCCGUGCCAGCAGCCGCGGUAAUACGGAGGGUGCGAGCGUUAAUCGGAAUUACUGGGCGUAAAGCGCGCGUAGGUGGCUUGAUAAGCCGGUUGUGAAAGCCCCGGGCUCAACCUGGGAACGGCAUCCGGAACUGUCAAGCUAGAGUGCAGGAGAGGAAGGUAGAAUUCCCGGUGUAGCGGUGAAAUGCGUAGAGAUCGGGAGGAAUACCAGUGGCGAAGGCGGCCUUCUGGACUGACACUGACACUGAGGUGCGAAAGCGUGGGUAGCAAACAGGAUUAGAUACCCCGGUAGUC